GAUGAACGCUGGCGGCGUGCUUAACACAUGCAAGUCGAACGGUGAAGGCGGAGCUUGCUCUGCUGGAUCAGUGGCGAACGGGUGAGUAACACGUGAGCAAUCUGCCCCUGACUCUGGGAUAAGCGCUGGAAACGGCGUCUAAUACUGGAUACGAGCUGCGAAGGCAUCUUCAGCAGCUGGAAAGAAUUUCGGUCAGGGAUGAGCUCGCGGCCUAUCAGCUUGUUGGUGAGGUAAUGGCUCACCAAGGCGUCGACGGGUAGCCGGCCUGAGAGGGUGACCGGCCACUCUGGGACUGAGACACGGCCCAGACUCCUACGGGAGGCAGCAGUGGGGAAUAUUGCACAGUGGGCGAAAGCCUGAUGCAGCAACGCCGCGUGAGGGACGACGGCCUUCGGGUUGUAAACCUCUUUUAGCAGGGAAGAAGCGAAAGUGACGGUACCUGCAGAAAAAGCGCCGGCUAACUACGUG
rnacentral:rRNA from 1 species